UACGAAGGGUGCGAGCGUUGUUCGGAAUUAUUGGGCGUAAAGGGUUCGUAGGCGGGAGAAUAAGUUAAGUGUGAAAGACCUGGGCUCAACCUGGGAGUGGCAUUUAAAACUGUUUUUCUUGAGUCUCAGAGAGGGUGGUGGAAUUGCUGGUGUAGGAGUGACAUCCAUAGAGAUCAGCAGGAACAUCGGAGGCGAAGGCGACCACCUGGCUGAAGACUGACGCUGAGGAACGAAAGCGUGGGGAGCAAACAGG
rnacentral:rRNA from 1 species